rnacentral:tRNA from 1 species
CCUAAAAGUUUUCCGAACACG